rnacentral:rRNA from 1 species
GACGAACGCUGGCGGCGUGCUUAACACAUGCAAGUCGAACGAAGUGGCGAACGGGUGAGUAACGCGUAAUCAACCUGCCCUUCCGAGGGGGACAACAGUUGGAAACGACUGCUAAUACCGCAUACUGAAGGAGGGGAUUGCGUCUGAUUGUCUAGUUGGAGGGGUAACGGCCCACCAAGGCGAUGAUCAGUAGCCGGUCGGGGAGGAUGAACGGCCAACUUGGGACUGAGACACGCCCAAGAAUCCUGCGGGAUGCAGCAGUGGGGAAUCUUCCGCAAGGGACGAAAGUCUGACGGAGCAAGGCCGCGUGAGUGAUGACGGCCUUCGGGUUGUAAAGCUCUGUUAGUCGGGACGCGGUACCGGAAUAGAAAGCCACGGCUAACUACGUGCCAGCAGCCGCGGUAAUUC